UCAGAGCUCCCAGAAAUGGCUAUAUUGGUAGCAAAUUCUGCACUUUUUUGGCUGUUCUGGAAUGUCAUACUCUGAAA